rnacentral:rRNA from 1 species
GAUGAACGCUGGCGGCGUGCCUAAUACAUGCAAGUCGAGCGAACGGACGAGAAGCUUGCUUCUCUGAUGUUAGCGGCGGACGGGUGAGUAACACGUGGAUAACCUACCUAUAAGACUGGGAUAACUUCGGGAAACCGGAGCUAAUACCGGAUAAUAUUUUGAACCGCAUGGUUCAAAAGUGAAAGACGGUCUUGCUGUCACUUAUAGAUGGAUCCGCGCUGCAUUAGCUAGUUGGUAAGGUAACGGCUUACCAAGGCAACGAUGCAUAGCCGACCUGAGAGGGUGAUCGGCCACACUGGAACUGAGACACGGUCCAGACUCCUACGGGAGGCAGCAGUAGGGAAUCUUCCGCAAUGGGCGAAAGCCUGACGGAGCAACGCCGCGUGAGUGAUGAAGGUCUUCGGAUCGUAAAACUCUGUUAUUAGGGAAGAACAUAUGUGUAAGUAACUGUGCACAUCUUGACGGUACCUAAUCAGAAAGCCACGGCUAACUACGUGCCAGCAGCCGCGGUAAUACGUAGGUGGCAAGCGUUAUCCGGAAUUAUUGGGCGUAAAGCGCGCGUAGGCGGUUUUUUAAGUCUGAUGUGAAAGCCCACGGCUCAACCGUGGAGGGUCAUUGGAAACUGGAAAACUUGAGUGCAGAAGAGGAAAGUGGAAUUCCAUGUGUAGCGGUGAAAUGCGCAGAGAUAUGGAGGAACACCAGUGGCGAAGGCGACUUUCUGGUCUGUAACUGACGCUGAUGCGCGAAAGCGUGGGGAUCAAACAGGAUUAGAUACCCUGGUAGUCCACGCCGUAAACGAUGAGUGCUAAGUGUUAGGGGGUUUCCGCCCCUUAGUGCUGCAGCUAACGCAUUAAGCACUCCGCCUGGGGAGUACGACCGCAAGGUUGAAACUCAAAGGAAUUGACGGGGACCCGCACAAGCGGUGGAGCAUGUGGUUUAAUUCGAAGCAACGCGAAGAACCUUACCAAAUCUUGACAUCCUUUGACAACUCUAGAGAUAGAGCCUUCCCCUUCGGGGGACAAAGUGACAGGUGGUGCAUGGUUGUCGUCAGCUCGUGUCGUGAGAUGUUGGGUUAAGUCCCGCAACGAGCGCAACCCUUAAGCUUAGUUGCCAUCAUUAAGUUGGGCACUCUAAGUUGACUGCCGGUGACAAACCGGAGGAAGGUGGGGAUGACGUCAAAUCAUCAUGCCCCUUAUGAUUUGGGCUACACACGUGCUACAAUGGACAAUACAAAGGGCAGCGAAACCGCGAGGCCAAGCAAAUCCCAUAAAGUUGUUCUCAGUUCGGAUUGUAGUCUGCAACUCGACUACAUGAAGCUGGAAUCGCUAGUAAUCGUAGAUCAGCAUGCUACGGUGAAUACGUUCCCGGGUCU